rnacentral:rRNA from 1 species
CCUACGGGUGGCAGCAGUGAGGAAUAUUGGUCAAUGGGCGCGAGCCUGAACCAGCCAAGUAGCGUGAAGGAUGACUGCCCUAUGGGUUGUAAACUUCUUUUAUAAAGGAAUAAAACGAGGCACGUGUGCCUUUUUGCAUGUACUUUAUGAAUAAGGAUCGGCUAACUCCGCGCCAGCAGCCGCGGUAAUACGGAGGAUGCGAGCGUUAUCCGGAUUUAUUGGGUUGAAAGGGAGCGUAGAUGGGUUGUUAAGUCAGUUGUGAAAGUUUGCGGCUCAACCGUAAAAUUGCAAUUGAUACUGGCAGUCUUGAGUACAGUAGAGGUAGGCGGAAUUCGAGGUGUAGCGGUGAAAUGCUUAGAUAGCACGAGGAACCCCGGUUGCGAAGGCAGCUUACUAGACUGUGACUGACAUUGAUGCUCGAAAGUGUGGGUAUCAAACAGGAUUAGAUACCCCUGUAGUC